AACUAUAGUUAAUACUGCAUUGUGCAUUGGAAACUUGCGGAGAGUACAUUUCAUGCGCUCUCACCACUUACACAAAAUAGUAACUGUGAAGAGAUGUAUUAUGUUAAUUAGCUUGACUGUAGAAAUCAUUUCACUGUGUACAUGUAUCAAAACAUCAUGUUGUACACCUUAAAUAUAUAGUUUUUAUUUUUAAAACACUGUUUGGGAUUAAAAGCCCAGCUAAUUCUGCCUUAAUAUCUCAUUCUUAUCCACAAUGUCCACCCAUAAGAAAGACGCCCGAUACUCCGUGUAAACACACACUCCCCAUCUCCCAUACAAAUUUACCUUCUAGAGAGAGCCCUUUUCCCCAAACUCUCCUCUCAAAACACUCUGAAGCACAAGGUCUUUAGCCUAGUUAGACAUUUUCUGAAAAACUUAGUUUAACUCAGCGUAGAGACACCAUGAAUUUCAGAGACCCAGUCCUGGGCCUGCUUCAGUUGCUUUAGCCUAGAGUUUCAACUCCCAGGUCCCGGGGAGGGAUGCUCCAAGGAAGAAAUAGAGGCCCUAUUCCAGGGCUGUUUCUCGCAGACUAGCCACAGAAAAUGCAGCCCAGCGCCACUUCCUUUCAGUAGCAACACGUUUCCAACACGUUUGUUAAGCGGGAACGGAAGUGAGCGGAAAGGAAUGCGUUUGGUAAAUCCCACUUUAAGGAUUUCGUAAUCCUCCCAGGGAUUCCCACCACCCGCACUCCACUCGCAGACUGCGGGCCUUCCUCCGACGCUGGGAGAAGGACCCUGGGAGAGGCAAGGGAAGGGCUCCGGAACCAGCGCAGCAGCGGGACGCUAGCCCGCCCACACGGCGGCCACUUGAAGGACCGGUGGCUCCCGUGGAGACCGCAGCGGAACCCAGUCCGCCUUCGCACGCGUCCGGGGGAGAAGCGGCCCCAGGACUAAGGGCGCGCGCCCGAGGAACCGGUGCUGUGACGACCAGAGCAAACACGCCGGAUGUUCCUGUGUAGGCUGUGUAAGGAGUGACCGGAAGUAGAAACUGGGUGCUCCAGUGGCGCAAUCGGUUAGCGCGCGGUACUUAUAUGGCAGUAUGUGUGCGAGUGAUGCCGAGGUUGUGAGUUCGAGCCUCACCUGGAGCAUUGUUUUCCAACCCAAAAUAGCAUUACUUGAAGUGCCUUUCCCCCUGUAAUCCGACUCCAUCGUCUUUAACGUGUUUGGAAUUGUGUACACAGUUUAUUGUUAUUGGUUUCCUUAGCCUUUUUAGAACCAAGCAACGCCAAUUACCAACAAAAUCCGUUGCGCCGCAGUGAGUUAGCUACCUUCUAUCUCCACUUUGUUCUGCACGUCGAUCUCAGCCCAGGCAGUAAGAAAACAUAUCAGCUUCCACUUUUACCUUUAAGGAGAAGCCAGCUCCCAUGUUAAGAAGUUCAAAUACCUAGAGACUGCGAUGGUUUGCAGAGGCUCAAGCUAACCACAUGGAAAGACAUGGAGAGAUAUUCCUUGCCAACCCUCAACUACUCCAACUAUUCUAAGACAUCAAACCUGUGAGUGAAAAAGCCAUCUCAUACCUUACAACUCUAGCAGAUGCCACAUAGUGUAGAGAUAAGCUCUCUCUGUCAUUCUCUGUCAAAAUUGUAAAAUCAUAAGCAAAUAAAUAAUCACAGUUGCUUCAAGUUACUACAUUUGAGCAUAGUAUUUUAAGCCACUGCAUUUGAGAUGGUUUGUUAUACAGCAAUAGAUAACUAAAAAACAAAGUCCCUUGAUUUAGACUUGUCCACUCAACUUGCUUGGCCAAUGGAAUGGGGUAGAAGUGAUGGUGUGCUUAUUCCCAGCCUGGGCCUUAAAAGGCUUUGCCUAUUUCCACUUGCCUUCUUGUACUUCUGCUAUUGUCAUAAGAAAAACAAACCGCAGGUCACCCACCGGUCUGAAGAGGAGGAUGAGAGACAAAGAAAAAAGUUGUCUGGCUGCCUCUGCUGUCUACAGAUUGAAGAAGAUCCAUCCAGCUGAGCCCAGCCUAGACCAGCUGACUUCUCCAAUAAGCCUGUAUGAAAUAAAUGCUUAUUGUUAUGUGACCUUGAGCUUUGAAGAUAGUUUGUUAUGCAAUAAUUGUUGAUUCUUUCACCCUGUCUUUGUUGAACUGUUAUAGACGUCUUAAUAGGAGUUCACAAUUCAG
rnacentral:tRNA from 10 species